CUAUGGCAACUCAGUGUUAGAUCAAGUAACCCUUACCUAGUAAAGGUUACAGGUCAGAGUUCAGUGGACUUCAUUUAUAACCUUGUCGAAGAGCAUGAGGGAGCCCAUGGGGACUUCAGUGUAAAAGAAGGACGUCCUCUCUCAGGUGGUAAUACCAGCUUCUUGAUCACUGUGACAGGAAGUGAAACAGUAAAGGUCACAGAAGUCACACUGUUUGACAGCUCAGGUCCGAAAGAGGUCAAAGGAUCAUUGCAGUCAUUAGGAAGCAGCGAUUUCCUGGUGACAUUUAGUGGAAUCCCAGCAGGUGAGUUUGUGCUUAUCCUGAAAGGAGAGGCCAGCAGCUCCACUUCCAGGUCCACUUCAAGCAGCUUCCAGAGACAAGCGUCCACACAGAUCAAGACCUCCAGCAUCUCUGUCACUGCCCAAGCCAAUAAUACCAACAUCGAGCCGGGCACCACUAUCUCCAUCCCCUUCUCAGUCGCCACAACUGCUGAUGGAGUUAUAACUGACUCUGCAACUGAGACAUUUACAGUGCGAGUCAGCAAUGACCGCAGUUAUACUUCCACUUCACCCAGCAGUGUUACUACUGUAGCAGGCAGUGGUGGUAAAGCCAAUGGCACCGUGACCCUAACAGCUCCAUCCAGUGCUGCAUCAGGAACAGACGUGACCCUCACCAUUGAGGCAGAAAACUCUGCUGCCACCGACAUCAACUAUGUAGUUCUCAGGUUUUCUGUGAGUGCUAAGGUGACAGAUGUUAACCGUCCAGUUUGCCAGGUAGUCAACACAUCAACCUGUGCCUCCACUUCAUUGCUUUGUGCUUCCUCCCAGUGGGAGUUCAUUGCCAAUUUCACUGAUGGCAUCAAUGGAACUGGCAUUGAGAGUGUAACCAUUCGCCAAGGGAAUGGUACUCUGAAUAUGAGCACAGUGGUUGAAGCAGGGGGUGAGAAUAUUACCCUGGUUACCUACACUGCCUCCAGCUGCUCACCGAUUGUGGAGCUGACUGCUGUAGAUAGUGUAGGAAAUGUGGGGACAUGUGUGGGACAGGCUAGAGUGCUUACCACACCUCCUCCUACGACAAUGACCCCUGCAACUACAACUGCAGUUCAAACAACAUCCACCAGAGGGUACACUUUGAACAUAUCAACCAUUCUUUGGCUUAGUGUUGUGUUUUCAGUACUUUUGAAGUAACAGAGAAGAAAUGCCAAUUGUGCUGAAUUUGUGAAUCUGUGACAUAUGGGUCAAGUGACCUAACCUUGACUGCUGACCUGAGCUGGCUAUGAAGCAAAACACUGAUAAAAAAAAACAAAAAAAAAAACAUAUACUAAGACCUGCAAUUAUCGGUACAUCGGCAUUGACUUUGAGUAAUCUUCUUUAGGACCUAAAGAUUUGGCACGUAUUUAGAUUUUUUUUUAAAUGUUUUAUUUUACAAUAUUGUAUUUUACAAUACUUCAUUAAGAAUAUAAGACAUUAGGCAAUGUCUGUAAUUUUAACAGAAUACAAUGUUGCACUCAAAAUUACAAUAAAUUGCAGUUUUUAUGUUGCAGUUUUGUGAUUUAUAUGCAACAACCUUUGUCUUGCUACCUAAUUUCACUGUGCAAGCAACUGUACAAUAACAAUAAAAGUCCUAAGUUCUACAAAUAAAC
ensembl:lncRNA